UACGUAGGGUGCGAGCGUUGUCCGGAAUUAUUGGGCGUAAAGAGCUCGUAGGCGGUCUGUCGCGUCGGAUGUGAAAACUCGGGGCUCAACCCCGAGCCUGCAUUCGAUACGGGCAGACUAGAGUUCGGUAGGGGAGACUGGAAUUCCGGGUGUAGCGGUGAAAUGCGCAGAUAUCAGGAGGAACACCGGUGGCGAAGGCGGGUCUCUGGGCCGAUACUGACGCUGAGGAGCGAAAGCGUGGGGAGCGAACAGG
rnacentral:rRNA from 1 species